rnacentral:rRNA from 1 species
GAUGAACGCUGGCGGCGUGCCUAACACAUGCAAGUCGAACGGAGUUAAUUAGGAAAGUUCUUCGGAACUGGAAUCUUUAACUUAGUGGCGGACGGGUGAGUAACGCGUGAGCAAUCUGCCUUUCAGAGGGGGAUAACAGUCGGAAACGACUGCUAAUACCGCAUAAUGCAUCGGGAUCGCAUGAUUUUGAUGCCAAAGAUUUUAUCGCUGAAAGAUGAGCUCGCGUCUGAUUAGCUAGUUGGUGAGGUAACGGCCCACCAAGGCGACGAUCAGUAGCCGGUCUGAGAGGAUGAACGGCCACAUUGGGACUGAGACACGGCCCAGACUCCUACGGGAGGCAGCAGUGGGGAAUCUUCCGCAAUGGACGAAAGUCUGACGGAGCAACGCCGCGUGAACGAUGACGGCCUCGGUU